GACCCUGGCUCAGGAUGAACGCUAGCUACAGGCUUAACACAUGCAAGUCGAGGGGCAUCAGUUUGGUUUGCUUGCAAACCAAAGCUGGCGACCGGCGCACGGGUGAGUAACACGUAUCCAACCUGCCUCAUACUCGGGGAUAGCCUUUCGAAAGAAAGAUUAAUAUCCGAUAGCAUAUAUUUCCCGCAUGGGUUUUAUAUUAAAGAAAUUCGGUAUGAGAUGGGGAUGCGUUCCAUUAGUUUGUUGGGGGGGUAACGG
rnacentral:rRNA from 1 species